CAUUACAGUAUUACUUUGAAGGGUUUUGAAGCUGGCCUUUACUGGCAUGUGCGCGCCCUUCUCAUACUUAUCCACAUAACACCUGUGCACCUCUGAUAAGUUUGUGUUGGUCUCGACUGAGGCAAGCUUAUCAUUUUUUUUUUUACAUUUAAAUGCCUGUUAUAUAUGCAUGUCUUAUGCUCUUAUGGAGCACACACAAAAAUACAACUUUCAACAACGGAUCUCUUGGCUUUCGCAUCGAUGAAAAACGCCGCGAACGUGCGAAACGUAAUGUGAAUUGCAGAAUUCAGUGAAUCAUCGAAUCUUUGAACGCAUCUUGCGCUCCUUGGUAUUCCGAGGAGCAUGCCUGUUUGAGUGUCGUGAACCUCUCAAUUUCUUAAUUUUUAACAUUUUAAGAAAAUUGGAUUUGAAUGUUGCCGUGAUUUGACUUACGGCUCGUUCGAAAUGCAUUAGCUGGUCCACUCGGUCUCUUAACGGUGUGAUAAAAUCUUAUUCUCUGUUAUGAUGGAGUCGUGACUGCUUCCAAUGGUCCCUUACGGGGACAGCCUAAUGACAAUCUGACCUCAAAUCAGGUAGGACUACCCGCUGAACUUAAGCAUA
rnacentral:rRNA from 1 species